rnacentral:rRNA from 1 species
AACAAACGCUGGCGGCAUGCCUAAUACAUGCAAGUCGAACGAGAUCUUCGGAUCUAGUGGCGCACGGGUGCGUAACGCGUGGGAAUCUGCCCUUGGGUUCGGAAUAACUUCUGGAAACGGAAGCUAAUACCGGAUGAUGACGUAAGUCCAAAGAUUUAUCGCCCAAGGAUGAGCCCGCGUAGGAUUAGCUAGUUGGUGGGGUAAAGGCCCACCAAGGCGACGAUCCUUAGCUGGUCUGAGAGGAUGAUCAGCCACACUGGGACUGAGACACGGCCCAGACUCCUACGGGAGGCAGCAGUAGGGAAUAUUGGACAAUGGGCGAAAGCCUGAUCCAGCAAUGCCGCGUGAGUGAUGAAGGCCUUAGGGUUGUAAAGCUCUUUUACCCGGGAUGAUAAUGACAGUACCGGGAGAAUAAGCUCCGGCUAACUCCGUG